AACGAACGCUGGCGGCAGGCCUAACACAUGCAAGUCGAACGCUGUAGCAAUACAGAGUGGCAGACGGGUGAGUAACGCGUGGGAACAUGCCCUUCGGUUCGGAAUAACUCAGGGAAACUUGAGCUAAUACCGGAUACGCCCUUAGGGGGAAAGAUUUAUUGCCGAAGGAUUGGCCCGCGUCCGAUUAGCUAGUUGGUGAGGUAAUGGCUCACCAAGGCGACGAUCCAUAGCUGGUCUGAGAGGAUGAUCAGCCACACUGGGACUGAGACACGGCCCAGACUCCUACGGGAGGCAGCAGUGGGGAAUAUUGGACAAUGGGCGCAAGCCUGAUCCAGCCAUGCCGCGUGAGUGAUGAAGGCCCUAGGGUUGUAAAGCUCUUUCACCGGUGAAGAUAAUGACGGUAACCGGAGAAGAAGCCCCGGCUAACUUCGUGCCAGCCGCCGCCGUAAUAC
rnacentral:rRNA from 1 species